AUGGCGGGAUCAGAGACGGUGGAGCCAAGGCAGUCGGCAACGGGCAGAUCGGCGAGCAGUGGUGAUGGAUCGAGGGGCCGAGGGUAUGAUGCAGUCCUGGAGGACAGAUUUGAAGGUCUGAACCUCCAUGGCGAGGAAGAGGGGGAACUAGAUCUCUCUGGUGAGAUUGAUGGCCUGAUUGAUGAGACGAGAUGGAUAGCAAUUUUUAAGGUUCAUACUCAGAAGACGUUUAGCCAUAUCUCACUCUUCAAGUCUAUGCGAAACGCAUGGGCGGCGGCGCAGGGUGUAACCUUUAAACCUAAGGGAGAAAAUCUGCUCCUGGCGCAAUUCUUGUGCUUGGGAGAUUGGAACCGUGUCAUGAACGGUGGUCCGUGGUUAUUUCGUAACUCAGCUGUGGUUCUGGAGGAAUACGAUGGUUUGACUAAUGUGCAAGAGGAUAAGCUUGACUGUAUCCCAGUAUGGGCAAGAAUCACCGGGAUUCCGGAGGGGCUUAUGAAGAAGACAUAG
rnacentral:rRNA from 1 species